AUAAAUCGUAGGUGGCACUUGUUUUUUUGUUGACCGGGAAAGUCUGUCUUUGUGGAAAAAGAAGGAAGCUUUGCUGUGGAUUCAAGAACCCUUCUCCGGGAUCUUUGAUUCAUCUGUGUUUUCUGCAAGGGAAUUAUCUCAGGGCUUGGUGUUUACUGAUGCUGGGGUUUUGUGGAAUUCAGUAUUCUUGAGCUCUGAUCAUUGUCAGGGCAAUUUAUAUAACUAAAGAGUGCUCUUGUUGAGAUUGA